rnacentral:rRNA from 1 species
CGUGGGGAACCUGCCCCAUAGUCUGGGAUACCACUUGGAGACAGGUGCUAAUACCGGAUAAGAAAGCAGAUCGCAUGAUCAGCUUUUAAAAGGCGGCGUAAGCUGUCGCUAUGGGAUGGCCCCGCGGUGCAUUAGCUAGUUGGUAAGGUAAAGGCUUACCAAGGCGAUGAUGCAUAGCCGAGUUGAGAGACUGAUCGGCCACAUUGGGACUGAGACACGGCCCAAACUCCUACGGGAGGCAGCAGCC